rnacentral:snRNA from 1 species
UUCGCUUCUCGGCCUUUUGGCUAAGAUCAAGUGUAGUAUCUGUUCUUAUCAGUAUAAUACUAUCAUUUAACAAACAUGGUAGAUAAAUAAAAAUGUACAAUUUUCACAGCCUUC